GGCGAAUAUGGAGGAGAGAAGAAAGCCAUUGAAGCUUCCUUAGUUUCGGCAUUUGCAUGAAGUGAUUUAGGGUUGCCAGGUUAGCUCGGGUUGGAGGCCGUCAGAGAUAUUAUCACAUUGUCAAGUCUACGCUAUCGGCGUAAAUAAAUCUUAGUGUUUCGAGUCUAUGGCAUGUAUAGGGUUGUAAAGUUGAGUAAGUAAAUGAUACAAGACUAAGAUAUUGGUAAAUAUUUAAUAAUGCCUCAUGAAUAUUUUGGGCCUUGUAAGCCCGAUUAAAGGAUAAUAUACGUGUGUAUGAAAAGUUUAAAAUUGAUCAAAAAUUUUUACGGUCUGGUUUUAUAUAAA